rnacentral:rRNA from 1 species
UACGUAGGGCGCGAGCGUUGUCCGGAAUUAUUGGGCGUAAAGAGCUCGUAGGCGGCCGGUUGCGUCUGCUGUGAAAUCCCGGGGCUUAACCCCGGGCGUGCAGUGGAUACGGGCCGGCUGGAGGCAGGCAGGGGAGAAUGGAAUUCCCGGUGUAGCGGUGAAAUGCGCAGAUAUCGGGAGGAACACCGGUGGCGAAGGCGGUUCUCUGGGCCUUACCUGACGCUGAGGAGCGAAAGCGUGGGGAGCGAACAGG